rnacentral:rRNA from 1 species
AACGAACGCUGGCGGCAUGCCUAACACAUGCAAGUCGAACGAGACCUUCGGGUCUAGUGGCGCACGGGUGCGUAACGCGUGGGAAUCUGCCCUUUGCUUCGGAAUAACACAGAGAAAUUUGUGCUAAUACCGGAUAAUGUCGCAAGACCAAAGAUUUAUCGGCAAAGGAUGAGCCCGCGUAAGAUUAGGUAGUUGGUGGGGUAAUGGCCUACCAAGCCGACGAUCUUUAGCUGGUCUGAGAGGAUGAUCAGCCACACUGGGACUGAGACACGGCCCAGACUCCUACGGGAGGCAGCAGUGGGGAAUAUUGGACAAUGGGCGAAAGCCUGAUCCAGCAAUGCCGCGUGAGUGAUGAAGGCCUUAGGGUUGUAAAGCUCUUUUACCAGGGAUGAUAAUGACAGUACCUGGAGAAUAAGCUCCGGCUAACUCCGUG